GUAAGUUUUUAGUUUCUCUCUCCUUCUCUCUCUUGUAAAUCUCUCGUGAGCAAUAAUAAAGAAUCGCUUUGGUUUGAAGACCAGUCUUCAAGAUUUGAUGGAUGAAAUUCAAAUGGAGUGCUUCAAGUGAAGAGUUUGGUAUUAUGACACAGUUACUGUAAGUAGUAACCUUACCAAAAUUUACUUUUUAUGAUUUACAUAUGAAUUUUAAAAGUGAAUGUGUUAUUGAGUAAUUUAAGUUGCAUAUGAGACAAAUUGAUAUGAUACCAAAUUUAAUUGA